CGUGUGCUUACAAGUAGUCAGAGCCCGUUAAUGGGUGAUGGCGUGCCUUUUGUAGAAUGAACCGGCGAGUUACGAUUUGAUGCAAGGUUAAGCAGUAAAUGUGGAGCCGUAGCGAAAGCGAGUCUGAAUAGGGCGUUUAGUAUUUGGUCGUAGACCCGAAACCAGGUGAUCUACCCUUGGUCAGGUUGAAGUUCAGGUAACACUGAAUGGAGGACCGAACCGACUUACGUUGAAAAGUGAGCGGAUGAACUGAGGGUAGCGGAGAAAUUCCAAUCGAACCUGGAGAUAGCUGGUUCUCUCCGAAAUAGCUUUAGGGCUAGCCUCAAGUGAUGAUUAUUGGAGGUAGAGCACUGUUUGGACGAGGGGCCCCUCUCGGGUUACCGAAUUCAGACAAACUCCGAAUGCCAAUUAAUUUAACUUGGGAGUCAGAACAUGGGUGAUAAGGUCCGUGUUCGAAAGGGAAACAGCCCAGACCACCAGCUAAGGUCCCAAAAUAUAUGUUAAGUGGAAAAGGAUGUGGCGUUGCCCAGACAACUAGGAUGUUGGCUUAGAAGCAGCCAUCAUUUAAAGAGUGCGUAAUAGCUCACUAGUCGAGUGACACUGCGCCGAAAAUGUACCGGGGCUAAACAUAUUACCGAAGCUGUGGAUUGUCCUUUGGACAAUGGUAGGAGAGCGUUCUAAGGGCGUUGAAGCAUGAUCGUAAGGACAUGUGGAGCGCUUAGAAGUGAGAAUGCCGGUGUGAGUAGCGAAAGACGGGUGAGAAUCCCGUCCACCGAUUGACUAAGGUUUCCAGAGGAAGGCUCGUCCGCUCUGGGUUAGUCGGGUCCUAAGCUGAGGCCGACAGGCGUAGGCGAUGGAUAACAGGUUGAUAUUCCUGUACCACCUAUAAUCG
rnacentral:rRNA from 1 species